AUUUAACGCUGGCGGCAGGCCUAACACAUGCAAGUCGAACGAGUGGCGGACGGGUGAGUAAUGUCUGGGAAACUGACUGAUGGAGGGGGAUAACUACUGGAAACGGAAGCUAAUACCGCAUACCAUCCGAUGGUCACAGAUGGGCUUAGCUUGUUGGUGGGGUAACGGCUCACCAAGGCGACGAUCCCUAGCGUGUCUGAGAGGAUGACCAUCCAAACUGGAACUGAGACACGGUCCAGCCUCCUACGGCAGUCAGCAUUGGUGAAUAUUGCACAAUGGGCGCAAGCCUGAUGCAGCCAUGCCGCGUGUAUGAAGAAGGCCUUCGGGUUGUAAAGUACUUUCAGCGGGGAGGCGUUACCCGCAGAAGAAGCGCCGGCUAACUCCGUGCCGGCAGCCGCGGUAAUUC
rnacentral:rRNA from 1 species